UACGUAGGGGCCGAGCGUUGUCCGGAGUUAUUGGGCGUAAAGCGCGCGCAGGCGGCCUCGCGCGCCCGACGUGAAAGCCCCCGGCUUAACCGGGGAGGGUCGUUGGGGACGGCGGGGCUUGAGGGCGGGAGAGGGUGGUGGAAUUCCCGGUGUAGUGGUGAAAUGCGUAGAGAUCGGGAGGAACACCGGUGGCGAAGGCGGCCACCUGGACGGAUACUGACGCUGAGACGCGAAAGCGUGGGGAGCAAACAGG
rnacentral:rRNA from 1 species